rnacentral:lncRNA from 12 species
UGAAAAUACAAUUUAAUAAAAAGGCAAUACACUUAUUAGGCAGAAUUUACAAUAUGCAUUGUGUUUAAAGAUAUACAUACAAUGAGAUCUUACAUGAUUAUAUUAUUUUUGUUUGUUAUAAAUUAAGAUUUUCAUAAUUCAUAUGGUAUUUUUAUGCUUUAGUACAGUCAAAUAAAGUUACAGUACCUUUAAGGCACAUCAUUUGUAAGUCACACUGGAUAAAACUAAAUGACCCUUCGCAAAAACCUGCCCUCUUUAGUAACUGUUGCCAAGUCUGACAAGCCAUGCCGCUCUCACACUACACAUGUUCUCAUGCAGUGAAAAAUACAUCGCAGAGCAAAGAGGGAAAUGACAACAUGCCGACAGACAAGACAAAGUAGUUUACUUCUGAUAUGAAACAAAGGCUCAGCUUUCAAAUUUCAAAUUUUUAAGUGAUUUAAACAAUAAAUACCAUUUUGUGGCUCUUUAAUGUUAACCUAUUUUUUUCAACUGCAGAAAGAUGUCAAUACACACAAUUUUCAAGCCCACCAAAGUAAAUCUACCCUCCUGUCUUAAAUUGGAUUUGGCAUUAUGAUUGGUUCUGUUAAUCAAGCUUUUUGCGAAGGGUCAACUGCUAAAUAAAUUUGUUUAAAUCAAGGCAAUGCUGUCAAUUAAAUCAAGACACUACUGUCAAUCAUUAAGGGAUCCACACACAGAGAGACACAGAAAAAAAAGGAAGAAAAAAAAAGUAUAUAAAAUGUUUUGCCAAGUGUCCCAAACACUACGGCCUGCCACACUGAAAGAAAGUAAAUUACUACAUUAAUAAUACAUUUCAAAUUUCUUGCCAGUAUAAAAGAACUUUACGAGAUUACUUGAUCUUAAACAGUGCAUUACAUUCUGUACACCAUAUACUUUGUCAGUAAACAUUUGAUAUCAAGAGUGAAAGCACUUACCAUUAUAUUCUCAAACACAGGUUCAGUCGACUCAAUGUCAUUACCUUUAAGUCUAUCAUCAUGAGGUCUCGCAUGAUUCAUCUUUGCCACCGACAGUUGUUAACUAAAGGUGCUUCUCAAAUUAGAAUGUCGUGGAAAAGUUCAUUUAUUUCAGUAAUUCAACUCAAAUUGUGAAACUCGUGUAUUAAAUAAAUUCAGUGCACACAGACUGAAGUAGUUUAAGUCUUUGGUUCUUUUAAUUGAUUUUGGCUCACAUUUAACAAAAACCCACCAAUUCACU